rnacentral:rRNA from 1 species
GAUGAACGCUGGCGGCGUGCCUAAUACAUGCAAGUCGAGCGAACGGACGAGAAGCUUGCUUCUCUGAUGUUAGCGGCGGACGGGUGAGUAACACGUGGAUAACCUACCUAUAAGACUGGGAUAACUUCGGGAAACCGGAGCUAAUACCGGAUAAUAUUUUGAACCGCAUGGUUCAAAAGUGAAAGACGGUCUUGCUGUCACUUAUAGAUGGAUCCGCGCUGCAUUAGCUAGUUGGUAAGGUAACGGCUUACCAAGGCAACGAUGCAUAGCCGACCUGAGAGGGUGAUCGGGCACCCUGGAACUGAGACACGGUCCCGACUCCUACGGGAGGCAGCAGUAGGGAAUCUUCCGCAAUGGGCGAAAGCCUGACGGAGCAACGCCGCGUGAGUGAUGAAGGUCUUCGGAUCGUAAAACUCUGUUAUUAGGGAAGAACAUAUGUGUAAGUAACUGUGCACAUCUUGACGGUACCUAAUCAGAAAGCCACGGCUAACUACGUG